rnacentral:rRNA from 1 species
GACGAGUGGCGGACGGGUGAGUAAUGUCUGGGAAACUGCCUGAUGGAGGGGGAUAACUACUGGAAACGGUAGCUAAUACCGCAUAACGUCGCAAGGCCAAAGAGGGGGACCUUCGGGCCUCUUGCCAUCGGAUGUGCCCAGAUGGGAUUAGCUAGUAGGUGGGGUAAAGGCUCACCUAGGCGACGAUCCCUAGCUGGUCUGAGAGGAUGAACGGCCACAUUGGGACUGAGACACGGCCCAGACUCC